rnacentral:rRNA from 1 species
UACGUAGGUGGCAAGCGUUGUCCGGAUUUACUGGGCGUAAAGAGCGCGCAGGCGGUCGAGUAAGUCGAAUGUGAAAGCCCCCGGCUUAACUGGGGAGGGUCAUUCGAUACUGUUCGACUUGAAGGCAGGAGAGGGCAGCAGAAUUCCCGGUGUAGUGGUGAAAUGCGUAGAUAUCAUGAGGAAUACCAGAGGCGAAGGCGGCUACCUGGACAAUUGCUGACGCUCAGGCACGAAAGCGUGGGGAGCAAAAGGG